GGGGAAUAUUGCACAAUGGGCGAAAGCCUGAUGCAGCAACGCCGCGUGAGGGACGACGGCCUUCGGGUUGUAAACCUCUUUUAGCAGGAAAGAAGCGAAAGUGACGGUACCUGCAGAAAAAGCGCCGGCUAACUACGUGCCAGCAGCCGCGGUAAUACGUAGGGCGCAAGCGUUAUCCGGAAUUAUUGGGCGUAAAGAGCUCGUAGGCGGUCUGUCGCGUCUGCUGUGAAAACCCGAGGCUCAACCUCGGGCCUGCAGUGGGUACGGGCAGACUAGAGUGCGGUAGGGGAGAUUGGAAUUCCUGGUGUAGCGGUGGAAUGCGCAGAUAUCAGGAGGAACACCGAUGGCGAAGGCAGAUCUCUGGGCCGUAACUGACGCUGAGGAGCGAAAGGGUGGGGAGCAAACA
rnacentral:rRNA from 1 species